GAGAGACUGCACUGCGCCUUCCCCUGCGCCUGUCCCGCAUCUGUCAGACCCUGAUUUCUGUGAUGAAGACUACAAACAAACUAGCUUGAUUUCAGCUCAUAUCACCAUUUCCUGUAAUGAUGUGUAUGGCUUUAUCUGUAAAGAGAUGAAUUACACCUGCGACACACUCUAUGCCCCUUAUGCUAAGUACACCAUCAGUGAUGUGAGGGCACUGGACAAGGGGGUCUACUGGUGCGGCAACAGAUCACUGAGCGAAGGCCACAGAGUGUCACGACAGAAAAUACUACUUCAAGUCUUUGCAGAAAUUAUAGAUGUGCCGGGCUGCUCUGGAGGCUG